CUUCCUCUCCCUUCACGCCUUUAAAAGGAGUGGCGGACCUGCUUCUCGAAGAAUCUCCUCCUUCUUCUUCAGAUCGGCCAUGGGGAGGAGGAAGACGGAGAUGAAGCGGAUCGAGAACGCGGCGAGACGGAAGGUGACCUUCUCUAAGCGGCGCAGCAGCUUGCUCAAGAAGGCCUACGAGCUCUCCGUGCUUUGCGACGUGGAGGUCGGGCUCAUCGUCUUCUCUUCCCUGGGCAAGCUUUACGAGUUCUCCAGUUCCAGCAUACAAAGUACCGUCGCACGAUAUACAGAACGUUCAAGAGGAGAUACUAGUGACUCAAUAAUGGAGCAAAUUCAGUUUUAUCGAGUGCAGCAAAGAAAAAUGGAAGCAGACUACUUGUCGAGCUUUUCAAAAACAAUGGAGCAACUUGAAACCUCUAAAAAGCAGUUGCUCGGCGUGGAACUAGAGUCAUGCUCGUUCAACGAGCUGCAUGGCCUAGAAGGUAACAUUGAGCAGAGCUUGCAAAGGAUCAGAAAAAGGAAGUAUCAAGUGAUAGAAGAGCAGAUUUCGCAGCUAAAAGAGAAGGAGACAUCCUUCUUAAAGGAGAAUGAAUCACUAUGCCAAAAGCGCAAACUAUUUCCUCAGUUGCCAGCUAGUGCUUCCAAGGAAGUGCCACCCUGCCCUAGUCAUCAAGCCACCAAGACGCACAGCAAUUACAAUGAGGUGGAGACAGAGCUACGCAUUGGAUUUCCAGACAGAGGAGCCAUGGCUUCUUCGCCAUCUACGAAGAAGGGCUAGUUACUCCAGUCAUUCUUUCAUAUCACCUUCCAAUUACUUGCAGCAUAGAUUUUUGUCACAUUUAUACAAAUAAUUAGCAGGCAUCGCAUGGAAUAUGCAGGAACUUAAGAGUAAACGAAGUCCAGCGAAAGAUGUAACUAACGAGAAGAAUAGCACGGGAGAUAGUCGACGGACUCGGUGCGUCCGAAGCAUGAGACGUUGUGGAAGAGUACGCUGACGGACGAUAAGGAGGUGCAUGACGUUUCUGAGGGACGAGAAGGCUGAGCAGAAAGUUGCUCGAGAAGGUAAAAAAUGGGUUCGGAUGAGCCCUAUUCUGGAUGGUCGAAAUCACCCAAGUGAGUG